rnacentral:rRNA from 1 species
GACGGAGGAUGCAAGCGUUAUCCGGAAUGAUUGGGCGUAAAGCGUCCGCAGGUGGCAGUUCAAGUCUGCUGUCAAAGACCGGGGCUUAACUUCGGAAAGGCAGUGGAAACUGAACAGCUAGAGUAUGGUAGGGGCAGAGGGAAUUCCUGGUGUAGCGGUGAAAUGCGUAGAGAUCAGGAAGAACAUCGGUGGCGAAGGCGGAUCUCUGGGCCGUAACUGACGCUGAGGAGCGAAAGCAUGGGGAGCGAACAGG